CGGGGCGUAGCGCAGCCCGGUAGCGCACCUGCCUUGGGCGCAGGGGGUCGCUGGUUCGAAUCCAGUCGCCCCGACCA
rnacentral:tRNA from 1 species